rnacentral:lncRNA from 1 species
CUUUUAUGCAAAUUCCCAGGGACUUUAACCUGAGAAAAUUUAGCAGCUGCUGGCUUGGUCUUAAUACACCUUGCCUCUCUGUAUGAUCGGGAACUAUCAGGAACUUGAUGAGCUGACAAAUGUGCUCCAUGCUUGCAACACAGCAGGGAAGAAAUUGCAGCACCUGGAAAUCCCCGUGGAAUGCAAGAGGAAGAAAAUUAGAGAAAGGAAAAUAAUUGAAGCUGGGAUUGAAAGAGCUGCUUCAAUCAGCAAAUUACGGAAGAAUUCAUUGGAUGCAUUAGCAACACCCUGGGAAGACCAGAUGUGACCAGAAUUGUUUCAAGGAAUUGACGUAUUUUCCCCCUCCAUCAGCACUGACGUAUUUUUUUUUUUCAAAAUGAUUGGCAGCUUCUCUCUUCUCUUGGAUCAACUGUGAGGCUUCGGGUUCCCGAGACAAUUUUUUUUUUUAAUAUUGGUGCAUCCAGCGAGUGAAACAUUUCCAUAGUUAGAUACUGGACUGCCUUUCCACCCCCCGCUCCCCUCUUCUGCUUGCAAAAAUACUUUUUUUCUCUGCUGUAAAAAGAUAAGUGGGCUUUUUUCAACAGGUGAAUGAACCAGAUAAAACACCACCGACUGUCAAUUUUAACAUUUGGGAAAAAAAAAAAAGAAAAUAUGGUGAAUUAGAAAAAUAGGAGCCUACCAAUCUAAGCAGACCCCACAAAAGAGCUUUCUGUGUAAUAAUAAUAACAAUAACAACAACAACAACAACAAUAACAACAACAACAACAAUAAUAAUAAUGGUACUCAGCACACUGGGUGCUGUGCCUAAAGACCUAGGCAAGCACUUAAAAACAAUUGGCGCUGACAAGAUCACCAUUGGUCAGCUGCAGAAGGCCACCUUACUGGGAUCUGCUCGCAUAAUCCGCUGAUACAUCACGCAGUCCUAAACACUUGGGAAGUGUUCGACUAGUGAUUUGUGAUACGAAACGCAGCAUAGUUAUCUCAUUUGCUGUGUAC